GAGCAGCCGCCGGGCAUGAGCGGGAAUCAUUGAUGUUGAUUUAUAUAAGAAGUCUUAAGUCUUCUUGCUGCUUU
rnacentral:tRNA from 1 species